GGUGAGGGAUCAGAGGAGAACCCUGACUAAAACACCCGAGGGAAGAGACAGGUGAGGGAGGGAGCAGAGGAGAACCCUGACUAAAACACCAGAGUGAAGAGACGGGUGAGGGAGCAGAGGAGAACCCCGACUAAAACACCCGAGGGAAGAGACAGGUGAGGGAGCAGAGGAGAACCCUGACUAAAACACCAGAGGGAAGAGAGGUGAGGGAGCAGAGGAGAACCCCGACUAAAACACCCGAGGGAGACAGAGAGAGAGACAGAGAGAGAGAGACAGACAGAGAGAGAGAGACAGAGAGAGAGUGCGCGGGCACUAGAAAAUUCUGCAGCACCCGGC
ensembl:lncRNA